AGCAGCCGCGGUAAUUCCAGCUCCAAUAGCGUAUAUUAAAGUUGUUGCAGUUAAAAAGUUCGUAGUUGAAUUUCGGGGUCAGUAGGUCGGUCGUGCCACUGGUAUGAACUGGUUUUACUGAUUCCUCCCUCUUGAAGAACUGUGAUGCCAUUAAUUUGGUGUUGCAGGGAAUCAGGACUGUUACUUUGAAAAAAUUAGAGUGUUUAAAGCAGGCUUUAGCUUGAAUACAUUAGCAUGGAAUAAUGAAAUAGGACGUUUGAUCCUAUUUUGUUGGUUUCUAGGAUUUGACGUAAUGAUUAAUAGGGAUAGUUGGGGGCAUUAGUAUUCAAUUGUCAGAGGUGAAAUUCUUGGAUUUAUUGAAGACUAACUACUGCGAAAGCAUUUGCCAAGGAUGUUUUCAUUAAUCAAGAACGAAAGUUAGGGAUCGAAGACGAUCCGAUACCGUCGUAGUCUUAACCAUAAACUAUGCCGACUAGGGAUCGGAUGAUGUUAAUUUUUAAUGUACUCAUUCGGCGCCUUACGGGAAACCAAAGGUUGG
rnacentral:rRNA from 1 species